UGUUAAAAUUUUCAUCCAUUUGUAAUAUUAAAAUUUGACGUAAUUAAAAUAAUCAAACAGUGAUAUGUGACGUACCAUAUCUACCUCAUAAUGAUGUAUAGGAACCUGCUUUUAAUAGUAAAAUUGGAUGAGCUUUUUACA
rnacentral:pre_miRNA from 1 species